rnacentral:rRNA from 1 species
GGCGGACGGGUGAGUAAGGCAUCGGAAUCUGCCCUGAUGUGGGGGAUAACGUAGGGAAACUUACGCUAAUACCGCAUACGACCGAGAGGUGAAAGCGGGGGACCGAAAGGCCUCGCGCAGCAGGAUGAGCCGAUGUCCGAUUAGCUAGUUGGUGGGGUAAAGGCCUACCAAGGCGACGAUCGGUAGCUGGUCUGAGAGGAUGAUCAGCCACACUGGGACUGAGACACGGCCCAGACUCCUACGGGAGGCAGCAGUGGGGAAUAUUGGACAAUGGGGGCAACCCUGAUCCAGCAAUGCCGCGUGUGUGAAGAAGGCCUUCGGGUUGUAAAGCACUUUUAUCGGGAACGAAACACCGUGGGUUAAUACCCUGCGGGACUGACGGUACCCGAGGAAUAAGCACCGGCUAACUCCGUG